rnacentral:rRNA from 1 species
GUGUCAGCAGCCGCGGUAACACCGGCAGCUCGAGUGAUGACCGAUAUUAUUGGGCCUAAAGCGUCCGUAGCUGGCCGAGAGGGUCCGUCGGGAAAUCUGCUCGCUCAACGAGCAGGCGUCCGGCGGAAACCAAUCGGCUUGGGACCGGAAGACCUGAGGGGUACGUCUGGGGUAGGAGUGAAAUCCUGUAAUCCUGGACGGACCGCCGGUGGCGAAAGCGCCUCAGGAGAACGGAUCCGACAGUGAGGGACGAAAGCUAGGGUCUCGAACCGGAUUAGAUACCCCUGUAGUCC